UACGUAGGGUGCAAGCGUUUAAUCGGAAUUACUGGGCGUAAAGCGUGCGCAGGCGGUUUUGUAAGUCUGUUGUGAAAUCCCCGGGCUCAACCUGGGAAUGGCAAUGGAGACUGCAAGGCUAGAGUUUGGCAGAGGGGGGGUAGAAUUCCACGUGUAGCAGUGAAAUGCGUAGAGAUGUGGAGGAACACCGAUGGCGAAGGCAGCCCCCUGGGUCAAGAUUGACGCUCAUGCACGAAAGCGUGGGGAGCAAACAGG
rnacentral:rRNA from 1 species